ensembl:lncRNA
AUGAGGCUCAGCAUAAACGAGCCCAUCUCUAGAAGCCCUCGCGUGCGUGCACGCUCACAGCCCCGUCUUUCGGCCCUGCUGGCAGGCCGUCUGUCCCCCUUUUGUGGCAGGCUGGGGGGCUUCUCAGGACCCGUGCUGCCCUCCCCUCCCUGGCUCCGCUCCGGGCAUGGGGGACUCCAGGGAGGGGUGUUUACGGCCCCACCUGGGUCUGCCCUGGCCCCUUCCCUCUGCUUGUCUCCUCCCCCGGGGACACAGGUUCCCUUGUCAUGUGGGAAGAGAGCUGCCCGCUUGUCUGCAGGAACAGCCGGGCCUUGUCCCCUCAGCUGCGGCCGACGCCUGCGGCGGGCUGGACAAUCCUGGCUGUGUCCCGGGGGGCUGGCGGCCCGCGGAAGUGCCCUGGCUCCGGCCCAGGCCCUGCGGGGGGCUUCGGGCUGGGAGCUUGGAGGUGGAGCCCGCGGGGAGCCCUUUUCUCCAGGGCCUCUGGUUUUUCUGCAGUCCUGCCCAUGGGAGCCGAUGCUGGCCAAGGAGGAGGCCCAUCAGCUUUCUGAAAGGGGUGCUGACGCUGGGCCUGCCUCCUUUCUAAGGGGCCACCGCGCGACCGGGGGCCGUGAGCAGAGAUGCGACGGCUGGGGACUCGAUCCCUCUAGCCACCUUCUCUGAGCCUGAUGCCCUCAGAGGGCUCUUCCGAGGGGUGGGAGGAGAAGGGUGGGGACAGCUGACGGGUCGGGGCUGGCUUCCUGUCGGGGCUUCAGUGGCGGCCCUGAUGUCUGGCUCUUCUGCCCUCAGCCCCUCGGGCUUGCAGCUCCUGCACCGUGCUGCCUGUCUGCCCGCCAGCCCCGCCUCAUCCCCCUGAAGGGGCCUGGCUCCAUGGGCACCCGGCCCCCAGCACACACCAUAGUCCCACAGGCGGACGGUCUGUUCUGAACCCAUCCUCUUGCCAAAUGCUCCCCAAACACUGCCUCACUCGCGGCGUCGGGAGGUCUGUGUUCUUGUCCUCAUUUUGCAGAUGUAGAGGCUGAGGCUCAGGAUGACGAAGUGACUUUCCCAAGGCCACUCAGCUCGCUAAAGUGAGUCUUUCCUCUCCUAAAGCUCGUGCACAGGAUCAGUAGACUCUACGGCUUCUCUGGGCUCCUUGUCUCCAGCUGCUGCCGCUUCUGCCUAGAAAGCUGUUUCCUUUAUUCAGAUGACAACCAUGUAUUGAGUUCUUACCCUGUGCUUAUUCAUGGUCUUACAGUUUAGAGGGGGAGAUAGAUAAUAAACACGUGAGUAAAAAGGAAGAAAAAUAGAGAAGACAGUGUUCACUGCUAUAUAGGGAAUUAAGAAAGAAGGGUGUAUCUGGGCACGAUGUGGGGUGCAUUUUAGCAGGGAGCUUGGAGAAGGCUGCUUAUGGACCUGGGACCUGAAAGAUGGGAAUGAGCUAUGUGGGAACUGGAGGAAUCACACUGUGUGAAAAGAAGGGCUGGCAGCAUCCCUGGGUAGACGUGAGCAUGACGUGCCGGGGAGGUGAGCUGUGGGUCUAGAACUGGAGUGGAUGUGCAAGGGGGACACACGAACACUCGGGGCACUGCCCGAAAUGAAGCAGAACCACCCUGUGGCUUUGUAACUCAGUUGUCCUGUCUGAGCACUGGGUCCAUAACAACCCCCUGCUACUCAGGUACCAGGCAGACAUCACUCAAGUAGCUGAAGGACUAUCAUAGGAAGAUGAACUGACCUGCUAUUUGUGGCCCCCGAGAGCAGAAUUGUACCUAUGGGUGGGGAAAGGUUUUAGGCGUGUUCAAUAGUCGUAGAUAUUCAGGAAUGAGAAGAGUUGCCCUGAGAAGCAGAGAGCUGCCUGUUGCUGACGGAAUCCAGCUUUGCUUGGAGUCAGGAUCUCGUGCAAUAGCUGACCCCUGGUGAUGGAGCGGAUGGCUCUUGGGUACUGACGGGGCUGGGGCUCACCAACACUGGGGUCUCCUUUGGUGGUUUCUGCCCUGCUUGAGCGUGCAGGGUGAAGGAUGUUGGUCUGGAGAAAGGUCUGCAGACCUGGCUUUUGGGUGGCUCGGGUUAGGUUGCAGGCUUGGUUCUGAGCUCUGGGCCAGAAUGUGCCUGGUGCUUGAUAAAUUUCGUUGCUUGAUUGAUUUCAUCCGGGCCCUGGAGGGAAGUGAAGGGAAGAUUUCUUGAUUUGAGAAGACUAAAUUAGGAGCAGAUGUCUUUUCAAGCUAUUAAUAGACAGUUGGGGAACAAUGAGCCUUAUUUUUAAAGGCUCCCAUAGCAUGCUGGUCGCUGCUUGCUGUCCAUUUGAUUAUUUUGUAUUGGAGCAUUUCAUAUUCUUGUCGGUGGACGGUCAUUUGCAGGGAAUAGCCAAGCCCCUCUUUAUGCUCGAUUCACGUCAUGAGCCAGAGGGUCUAAAUUUAAACUAUUCCCCCAAACUAUUCCAUGUCCCGCUAAAGAGCCCCAGUACACCUCAUGAUUCUGAAAAAUGGGUACAGUACAGAAUAACUUUCCAGAGAAGGGUUGGUGGAAUGCAUAAGACAGUCACUAAAUGGCCCAAGUCUUUUUUUUUUUUUUUUUUAAUUCUUCAAUACAGAAGUUUGGGGUUUGGCUUUUAGGUGAGUGAAUAUGGACCACUGUGGAAGCCUUUAGGAGCGUUGUUCACAAUCAUGACUGUUGAAAAUUGUCACCUACUUGGUGUGUGUGUUUUCUCUCGUGAUUNNNNNNNNNNNNNNNNNNNNNNNNNNNNNNNNNNNNNNNNNNNNNNNNNNNNNNNNNNNNNNNNNNNNNNNNNNNNNNNNNNNNNNNNNNNNNNNNNNNACUGUUGAAAAUUGUCACCUACUUGGUGUGUGUGUUUUCUCUCGUGAUUUAAAAACUAGCACCACUCAGCUCAUUCAAAAUAAAACUAGUGAGGAAAAUGGCUUUUCUUUAAAAACAAAAAAGCCCAACAUUUUGCUAUAAUGUGUUCCUCUGGAGAAAGUGAUUAUGAUACAGACAAGAGAAUUACCUGACUUGAUUUACCUUGGUAGGUUGAGUCCCAGUCAGGCUCCGGGCACAGACCCAGGAGGGGAAGAGUCACUUCUGACAGCCGCCUGGGGUCCGUGACUUCCCGCAGUCACAGUGGGCAGAUGGGAGUCCCCGAGAGGCGCCCAGCUCGCUGCGGGGCCUCUGGUCAUUUUUGGACGCGGUCUGGGCUUGUUCACAGGGACUGAGCCCCGUGGGGUGCCUGCCCUCUCCCCACAGAGGCAUCUGCUUAGGGAGUGCAGUGACCAGUCCGUAUGCCUUGCCACUCUCAGUCGCCCUGUGCACCAGCAGCUUCUUGCUGAGGGUACUUGGCCUGCUGGUCCCUCGAGCCACGAGCACGUGCCUGGAGAUACAUGGGAGCUGAUGCCCCAGGGGCAGCCUUCAGCGGUGACGAGUGGGCACUGAUGGAUGGACACCCUCUGGGUAGGACGGCUCUGACAGGAUCUGCAGUCCCUAGCGGGCUGCCCACAGCAGCCUGCUCACUGCCUCGUCCCGUGUUGCCAGUCCCCAGCAGGAUUACUGGGGCGUAAACCCUGGCUCUGCACUGCUUCCUGAUAGUCAGAGUGUUGGAGAGGGUGGAGGACAACCCGUGUGCCUGUGUGCCUGCCCUCAGCCCGCUGCCGGGGCCGGGGGGGGGCGGGCAGUGCC